rnacentral:rRNA from 1 species
AGCGAACGCUGGCGGCAGGCCUAACACAUGCAAGUCGAACGAACUCUUCGGAGUUAGUGGCGGACGGGUGAGUAACACGUGGGAACGUGCCCUUUUGUUCGGAAUAACUCAGGGAAACUUGUGCUAAUACCGAAUGUGCCCUUCGGGGGUAAGAUUUAUUGCCAUUAGAGCGGCCCGCGUCUGAUUAGCUAGUUGGUGAGGUAACGGCUCACCAAGGCGACGAUCAGUAGCUGGUCUGAGAGGAUGACCAGCCACACUGGGACUGAGACACGGCCCAGACUCCUACGGGAGGCAGCAGUGGGGAAUCUUGCGCAAUGGGCGAAAGCCUGACGCAGCCAUGCCGCGUGAAUGAUGAAGGUCUUAGGAUUGUAAAAUUCUUUCACCGGGGACGAUAAUGACGGUACCCGGAGAAGAAGCCCCGGCCAACUUCGUG